rnacentral:rRNA from 1 species
GUGGGGAAUUUUGGACAAUGGGCGCAAGCCUGAUCCAGCGACGCCGCGUGGAGGACGAAGGCCUUCGGGUUGUAAACUCCUUUUGGAGGGGAAGAAUAAAUUGACGGUACCCUCAGAAAAAGCCACGGCUAACUACGUGCCAGCAGCCGCGGUAAUACGUAGGUGGCGAGCGUCACUCGGAAUUACUAGGCGUAAAGCGUAUGUAGGGGGUUAGAUAAGUCUAUGGUGAAAUUUCCUGGCUUAACUGGGAAGGGACAUAGAUACUAUCUGGCUUGAGUGUGGGAGGGGGAGACGGAAUUCCUGGUGUAGCGGUGAAAUGCGUAGAUAUCAGGAGGAACACCGAUGGCGAAAGCAGUCUCCUGGCCCAAUACUGACACUGAGGUACGAAAGCUAGGGUAGCAAACAGGAUUAGAAACCCUUGUAGUCC